rnacentral:rRNA from 1 species
UACGGAGGAUCCAAGCGUUAUCCGGAAUCAUUGGGUUUAAAGGGUCCGUAGGCGGUUUUGUAAGUCAGUGGUGAAAGCCCAUCGCUCAACGGUGGAACGGCCAUUGAUACUGCAAGACUUGAAUUAUUGGGAAGUAACUAGAAUAUGUAGUGUAGCGGUGAAAUGCUUAGAGAUUACAUGGAAUACCAAUUGCGAAGGCAGGUUACUACCAAUAUAUUGACGCUGAGGCACGAAAGCGUGGGGAUCAAACAGG